rnacentral:rRNA from 1 species
CCGCCGGCGACCGGCGCACGGGUGAGUAACACGUAUGCAACCUGGCCGUGACAGAUGGAUAACCGGGAGAAAUCCCGCCUAAUACAACAUAAUGCCGGGAGGGGACAUCCCCUGCCGGUCAAAGGGGGCAACCCCGGUCACGGAUGGGCAUGCGGCGCAUUAGGUAGUUGGUGGGGCAACGGCCCACCAAGCCGACGAUGCGUAGGGGUUCUGAGAGGAAGGUCCCCCACAUUGGAACUGAGACACGGUCCAAACUCCUACGGAAGGCAGCAG